AUACGUAGGGGGCAAGCGUUAUCCGGAUUCACUGGGUGUAAAGGGAGCGUAGACGGAAGGCCAAGUCUGAUGUGAAAGCCCGCGGCUCAACUGCGGGACUGCAUUGGAAACUGGUCAUCUGGAGUGCAGGAGGGGUAAGCGGAAUUCCUAGUGUAGCGGUGAAAUGCGUAGAUAUUAGGAGGAACACCGGUGGCGAAGGCGGCUUACAGGACUGUAACUGACGUUGAGGCUCGAAAGCGUGGGGAGCAAACAGGAUUAGAUCCCCUGGUAGUCCACGCCGUAAACGAUGAAUACUAGGUGUCGGGUUUCUAUAGAGAUUCGGUGCCGCAGCAAACGCAAUAAGUAUUCCACCUGGGGAGUACGUUCGCAAGAAUGAAACUCAAAUGAAUUGACGGGG
rnacentral:rRNA from 1 species